GCAGUUGCUACUUACAAGUUAAUUGGAGCCACAUCUGUGGCUGUACCUUAAAGACCACACCUCAAACACACUGCUUCUCGUUUGGCACAAUAGGAAAGCCAAAAAAAAGUCAGCCGAGAUUCCAGGAAGAUAAGUGUGGUGCUUCACAAGUCUGGUUCAUGUUUGGGAACAAUUUGAAGAAGCUUCAAUGUCCAGUUGUUCAAACAAUUAU